CAUGUCUCAUUGAACGUUUUCCUGGUUGUCAGAGAUGCUAAUGCUCCGUGAGAAUUUUUAUUUAUAGCAGAGGAAAUUCAACCUAAAAACACGCUCAAAAGUAGGAUGGAGUGAAGGCAAUAAAUUCCGAUCAAAUGUAGACGUCGAUUGUUACUUUGAAAUUAUUAUAUUUUAUUGCAACAAAAUCAGUUGGAACAAUGAAUUCCUCGCUCUUGUGUAAGAGACAGCUGACCUGUGGCGUAGAAAACAAAAAGCAAGAUUUAAAGCAGUCAACUACUCAGUUUCUGGUUGUUCUCUAAUUCUCCGUUUUCGUUUCUAGGAAAUUUUAUCUUGUUUUAAACUCUGAGGUGAAGCUGAGUUUGUUUUCGCAUCAGGAAUAUAAAAUAAUAAAAGUAAAGUUUACCAGAAUUUUGCCAUGAGUCAAAAUUUGCUGGAAUGCAUCCUCCCUGCUACAACAAUUCUGCAGGUAAUGAUUCUUGCUUUGUUCCUCCUGCUGAGCAUGACCUUGCCAACCUCUGACGCCAAACCUGGACUUUGUGCUGAUUUAUGCGGUAAAUUAUGUACCACUGACUUCUGUGGCACCAUCUGUUCCUUUUACUGCUGAUUUCAACAGUAGAUAUUUCCAAGCCGGAUGGACACAGAGUGAGCUUUAUCAAGGAGUUAAGGGAGCUAAGAUGGUUUUGCUACAGUACAGAUGAAUUCAUGAAUUUUUUAAAACACGAUAUUGCCAGAAUCAUACACUUGUGACAUUAUUUAUUUUUAUUUCACCAUGAAAAGAUUUUGAGACAUGUUUUCCUUCGUUUAAAUAAAAGAAGAGAUAGA